UACGAGAGGGGCAAGCGUUAUUCAGAAUUAUUGGGCGUAAAGAGCACGUAGGCGGUUUAUAGAAUCCUCAAUACUACAUUUCAAAGCUCUCCUUUGAAUAUAAUUGUAGGAAACAUAAACUAGAGUAAGCGAGAGGAGAAUGGAAUUCCUGGAGUAGAGGUAAAAUUUGUUGAUCUCAGGAGGAACACCGAAAGCGAAGGCAAUUCUCUGCUGCUUUACUGACGUUGAGGUGCGAAAGCGUGGGGAUCAAAGGGG
rnacentral:rRNA from 1 species